UCACUGCUUACGCAGGCAGUUUCAUUAGAGUCCCCAGCUUUACCUGUUGGCAACUAAUGAUGGGGGUUGCGCUCGUUGCGGCACUUAAGCCAACACCUCACGGCACGAGCUGACGACAGCCAUGCAGCACCUUGCAAUCUGCCCCUUGCGGGGAGGACUGGUUUCCCAGCCUGUCAGACUGCAUUCUAGCCUUGGUAAGGUUCCUCGCGUAUCAUCGAAUUAAACCACAUACUCCACCGCUUGUGCGGGCCCCCGUCAAUUCCUUUGAGUUUCAACCUUGCGGUCGUACUUCCCAGGUGGUUCACUUAAUGCUUUUGCUUAGACACUAACAGUAUAUCGCUAAUGUCGAGUGAACAUCGUUUAGGGCGUGGACUAC
rnacentral:misc_RNA from 1 species